GUGGGGAAUUUUGGACAAUGGGCGAAAGCCUGAUCCAGCCAUGCCGCGUGCAGGAUGAAGGCCUUCGGGUUGUAAACUGCUUUUGUACGGAACGAAACGGUCCGGGUUAAUACCCUGGGCUAAUGACGGUACCGUAAGAAUAAGCACCGGCUAACUACGUGCCAGCAGCCGCGGUAAUACGUAGGGUGCAAGCGUUAAUCGGAAUUACUGGGCGUAAAGCGCGCGUAGGUGGUUUUGUAAGUUGGAGGUGAAAUCCCCGGGCUCAACCUGGGAACUGCCUCCAAAACUGCAUGACUAGAGUACGGUAGAGGGUAGUGGAAUUUCCUGUGUAGCGGUGAAAUGCGUAGAUAUAGGAAGGAACACCAGUGGCGAAGGCGACUACCUGGACUGAUACUGACACUGAGGUGCGAAAGCGUGGGGAGCAAACAGGAUUAGAUACCCCUGUAGUCC
rnacentral:rRNA from 1 species